rnacentral:tRNA from 1 species
GGCCUAGUGGCGAAGUGGUUAACGCGCUCGUCUGCAAAACGAGUAUUCACCGGUUCAACUCCGGUCUAGGCCU